AGUGAACGCUGGCGGCAUGCCUUACACAUGCAAGUCGAACGGCAGCACGGGAGCAAUCCUCGCGGCGAGUGGCGAACGGGUGAGUAAUACAGCGGAACGUGCCCAGCAGUGGGGGAUAAGCCGGUAAAAGCCGGACUAAUACCGCAUACGACCUACGGGCGAAAGCGGGGGAUCGCAAGAUCUCGCGCCAUCGGACGGGCGGAUGUCAGAUUAGCUAGUUGGUGGGGUAAAGGCCUACCAAGGCGACGAUCUGUAGCUGGUCUGAGAGGACGACCAGCCACACUGGGACUGAGACACGGCCCAGACUCCUACGGGAGGCAGCAGUGGGGAAUUUUGGACAAUGGGCGCAAGCCUGAUCCAGCCAUGCCGCGUGCGGGAAGAAGGCCUUCGGGUUGUAAACCGCUUUUGUCAGGGAAGAAACGCUCCGGGCUAAUACCACGGAGUAAUGACGGUACCUGAAGAAUAAGCACCGGCUAACUACGUG
rnacentral:rRNA from 1 species